GACGAACGCUGGCGGCGUGCUUAACACAUGCAAGUCGAACGGAAAGGCCCUGCUUUUGUGGGGUGCUCGAGUGGCGAACGGGUGAGUAACACGUGAGUAACCUGCCCUUGACUUUGGGAUAACUUCAGGAAACUGGGGCUAAUACCGGAUAGGAGCUCCUGCUGCAUGGUGGGGGUUGGAAAGUUUCGGCGGUUGGGGAUGGACUCGCGGCUUAUCAGCUUGUUGGUGGGGUAGUGGCUUACCAAGGCUUUGACGGGUAGCCGGCCUGAGUGGGUGACCGGCCACAUUGGGACUGAGAUACGGCCCAGACUCCUACGGGAGGCAGCAGUGGGGAAUAUUGCACAAUGGGCGGAAGCCUGAUGCAGCAACGCCGCGUGCGGGAUGACGGCCUUCGGGGUGUAAACCGCUUUCGCCUGUGACGAAGCGUGAGUGACGGUAAUGGGUAAAGAAGCACCGGCUAACUACGUG
rnacentral:rRNA from 1 species